rnacentral:lncRNA from 1 species
AAAAAAAAAAAACCUUACAAAAUUUUCUAGAAGUCUUCAAAAAUUUUAGAGGUUUUUAUAUCGAAAACAAGUUUAAAAACACAAUGAAAAUGAAUCAGCGUUUGAACAUUGUUGGUACGUUUGAAUGCUUGGACACCCAUUUAUAAUUUAUAAGUUUUCAUUUAUUUUUUAUCAUUUUUUUUUUAUAAUUUUUAACUUCUUUAUAUAUUAUAUUUCUUUUAGUCUAUAAUUGAUAAGACCCUCAAAAUAAAUAAUAUGUUAUAUUUAAUACAAUUAUAAAACAAAAUUUUCAAUUUAAUUUAAUCCAUUAACACUUAAGGCUAUAUUUGGUUCUCGGAAAAUUUGAGGGAAAAUGCAAAGGAAAUAAAGUGGAGAGGAAAAGUAAAAGGAAAGAAAAAGUGAAGGAAAAUAAAAAUUAGAGUUAAAGAUGAUAAAUUAUUUUUAUUUGUUACUUCAAACUCAUUUUAUUUAUUUUAAUUCAUCAAUAUAAAAAUUAAAUAAUUUAAAAAUGUAUAAGUUUCUAACUAAUUUAAAUUAUAUUUAAUUUUCUUUGGAAUAUUUUAUAGAACAAUCAAACAUGAGAAAAUCAUUUUCAUUAGCAUUUUUUUUCUUUCUUUUGUACUUUCCGGAACCAAACAUAACCUUAUAAUUACUUGCUUGUUACUAACCACAAUAGGAUUGUUUGACAAUUUUUAUCAAACAAAUAUUUUCUUAGAAUACAACUUAAAACAUAAGAGCUUUUCCUUGGGACUAAAGAUGUUCAUGUGGAAUAAAAAGGAAAUAAUAGUUGAAUUCAAAUAAGGUAAGUAAGAGGGUUUAAACAUAUAUUCAAAUGGAGCAAAUAUGCUCAACACAAACAAUGAACUCGUAUAAGCAACUCAUUAUAAUUAUCAACAUUAACUUUUCACUAUUGAAUCUGCUAUGUUUGGUUCCCGGAAAGUACAAAGGAAAGAAAAAAAAAUACUAAAGAAAAUGAUUUUCUCAUAUUUGGUUAUCCUAUGAAAAAUAUCAAAGAAAAUCAAAUAUAAUUAAAACUAAUUAAAAACUUAUAUAUUUUUAAAUUAUUUAAUCUUUAUAUUGAUGAGUUAAAAUCAAUAAAAUGAAUUUGAAAUAACAAAAAAAAUAAUUUAUUAACUUUUAAUCUAUUUUUUUAUUUUUCUUUACUUUUUCUUUCCUUCUACUUUUCCUUUGUAUUUUCUUUCCCUCGCAUUUUCCCUCAAAUUUUUCGGGAACCAAACAUAGUAAAAGUAAAAUAUUUUUUAAAUAAAUUAGUGAUUAAAAUGAAGUUUGAUUUCAUUGAUUAUUAUACUGACAAUCUAAUUUAAUAGAUGUGUACUUAAUCUUUUUUUUUUUUUUUUUUAUGAACCUCAAUGUAAUUACCAUCAAUAUUGUGAAAAAUUACUGUUCAAUUUAAUAUAUUUAUUUUCUCUAUUUUUUCUUAUUAAAAAUUUAUUUAUUUAUUUUCUAAUAUUCAUGAAUUUAAUAUUUUUAUUAACCAAGUCACUAAAGAGUGUAAAUGUUUAAUGUGUCUUUCACAUCUUUUCCUGCAUUUCCCAAAUUAAUUAAUUUUAAACUUUGAUUGAAAAUUUUGGUCCGACUCCGUAAUAGCGGAGUAAAGACGGCGUUUGGGCCUCCGAAACAGUGAGCGACACAGCCCUUUAUCUGCUAAGCUGAACGGUUCAGAUCGAAAGUCCAACCUACUCUCUCGUCUGCUCUCUACUCACUGCAAGAUGUGCUACGAUCAGCUUCGAUCUUUGUCUGAAGAUGAAAUCAUACCGCCGCGCACCACCAGAUCGCCGGACGAGAACGCCGUGGUGGUGGAGGAUCUGAGAAGCCGCUUAGCGGAGACUCAGGCGCGGCUUGAACGAGCCAGGGCUAGAGAAGCCGAGCUCAGCCGCCGCCUCCAGGAGAUGAAACGCUUCGUCUCUGUCAUGGAGAUCCUCGAGACCUACCUCAAGCGACGCUACCAAGAGCAGCAACAACACGUUGAGCGCUUGCUCUCCGUGAUUCCCCAAAAGCAGUAGUGUUUAUUGAUUCUCCACAGUUUGCUCUGUUGAUAAACAAACCUUUUUUUUUAAAGAAUACAAAUAAAAGGAAUUUCGGUUGUUCUCGUUGUGUUGUGGUUUACGGUCAGAUGGUUUUUUAUGCGAAUUAAGAAUCCUUAUCUUCGUUGUUGCUUGGUGGUUCAGUAAUGAUUCGUUUCGUCAUCGAGAAAACAUAGGAAAAUGUAGGAGAAUAUAAUUUUCACAAGAAAUUCAACUGACCUUAGUUCAAUCCUCGAUUUAGUCGAGUUGAUUGUUUAGGGGGUUUGCCGGAUGUUAGAAGUGUAUAUUUGCCUUUGGAGUAGCUAAUUUUAGGGUUCAACUGGCGUCAUUGCUAAGGAAGCCAGUUUCCAUGAGCUUGAUUGCUGAUUUGGGGGUUUUAAUUGGCUAAUUGAUUUAGAUUAGAUUUCUGAGGGGUUUCAGGUCGACUUAGUAGCACUAUUAGUUUGCUAAACUGAAUUGCAACAUUUAUGUAGUGUGUUGUGUUAGAUGCCCUGAGCAGAGAAAAGCUCAGAUGGGAUGAGGAGGCAGAGGGUUUAUGCCUUGUGGCUGGAGCUUUAAACCUAUGGAGCUUAAAAAUGGUAAGCAAAGAUGUAUUCCGAAAACAAUUGGGUAAAACUUGGGAUAUGGUUGCUCUAUCAACGAACCAAACAAUCAUGCAUUGAUUCAUUAGUAUUAGUUAACAAGGAAAACAUUCAUGCUAAGCAGCUUAGAAACCUGCCAUAAUUUCUCUUACAAUAAGCUGAUUACAUUUAUCUGUUGGUCUUUGUAUCCAUGCUUGUUGAAAUUCAUGAACUAGGUGUUGGCCUUGAAACAUUCCCUGUGGUAUCUCAUCGGAUCGAAAUUCAAUUUGCAUUCAGCUGGAGAAAUAUAUGUGUUGAUUUUUGUGCAACGAUUCUUGAUGAAAAAAAAAAAACACAAAAAGAAAAACACACAGAUUUAAUGUGGUUUAACAAAUUGCAUACCUUCGUAGGAAUAUGAAAGAAGAUUUUCACUAUAUCUCAAAUUAGGGUGACAUGAAAAAAUAUUUAUAGUAACUUUCAGAUAAUGAAAUUUUAAAAAUACGUCUGGACGUUCCCUCAAUAAUAAAAAUACAAGCUUAAAUAGUAAAUGUCGUCACUCCGUUUUGGUAUUUACCCUUUUUUCUGCAUAUGUCUUUAACUCAAGUCAUGUACUACAACAAUAUGAAUGGUAAAUCUGAAACAUCCGACCCAGUUAGAUGGGUUUGACUUUGAGAUUAUGCAGGAGCUGAUGAUAGCUUUCUAAAUAUUAAUACUCGGUUUCAUAACUCUGUGAACAUAAAUAUAGCAAGAUAGGAAAAAGCGGCUAUAGUACUGAAAUCGAAACACCCAUUUGGGCUGGAUGAGGCAGCUUCACUGGUCAGACUAGGAAAUGGGGACACCCAGAAACUUCCUUGCUGUCUUUUAAGGUAUAAAACAUAUGGAUUGAGCUUAUCCACUUCUCAUUCCAUACUAGGGUUUUAAGUUUCUCAUCUGACGGAUACCAGGGCUUCCCUUCUUUAUUUUCCUUUUUCAGUUGACAGAUAUGCGUCAUUGGAUAGUGGGGAGGCAUCAAUUUUUUGACGGUUUAACCUUGGAUUGUAAGAAAUAUCAGUUUCUACUCUCCUGAUUAGAAAUGUUACCAUAAAAACAAAAUUAAUAUGCCUGUUGCGUUACAGAACCAGUAGAUUAAAUAAUAAAAUGAACUGAAAAAGUCAAUAAAUUUGGUAGCUGGCUGAGAUGGACCUUCCAUAUAUCUUCAAAUGUGAAAUUAAUCACAUGACACUAAGAACCGACACGUUUCAGGAUGUGGCAAAAUUGUCAAAGCACGCUUCUUCAUGUUCGAUAAUUUCAGCAGUACCCCCUAAGAAAAUUGGGCUGGGUUUUUUGGGUAGAAAUUUGAAUUCUGAAAGUGGGUUAGCUUUAAAAAUUUUCUGGAGUCCAUGAAUAUACCAAUUGCAUAAUUUCUUUCACCUUUUCGCUUUUAUUAUAUGACAUUUUAGUGAUUAAAAGUAAAGAGAUUUUGUUCUGUUUUCUUCGUACUUGGNNNNNNNNNNNNNNNNNNNNNNNNNNNNNNNNNNNNNNNNNNNNNNNNNNNNNNNNNNNNNNNNNNNNNNNNNNNNNNNNNNNNNNNNNNNNNNNNNNNNCAUUUUAGUGAUAAAAGUAAAGAGAUUUUGUUCUGUUUUCUCGUACUUGGAUAAGACUCCUCAUGUCAAAUUCCAUCCCGUAGAGGGUGAAUAUGAUGUAUGAUGUGAAAUAAUAAGACCACCAAAAGGGACUGUAGUAAAAAUAAAUGUAGAAGAUGCGGGUAGAUGGAACAUGGAAGAUGACAAGUCAAUUUCUGUGUGUCCUAAUGGCAAAUUGGGUCAUAUUUUAAUCCUAAUUGCCAAUUGGGGAAUAUUGCAAUCAUAAUCAAGCUGAGAGGUCCAAAUGAAAAUGAUAGAGAUCUAUAAAGGGGCCAAUAAAAUUGGAUGAUUUAUCUAAAACCAAUUCAUUUGGGCCCUCUUAAUUGUGAUAUUCCACCAAAUUAUCAUCAUGUCAUGUGCUAAUGAGUGACCAAGCCCACUCAUGGAUUCUGAUGAAGAAACUUAAAAUGUAAGGAAGCUCUGACAUCUUCGCCACCAAACUAAAUGAAUGUAGUGGAGAAAGGAAAAAAAGGAAAAAGAAAAAAGAAAUAACUUGAAAUAAAUUCUGAUAAGCUCCUAACGGCCAACAAUAAGGGUAUUUGGGUAAUUCCAUGUAUACAUGAAAGCGCCAACUGAGCUCUUGUGAGUGAUAAAGAUGCCUCUAGCUGCCAUUCAUACCAGCCACCAUUAACAGAUAGUAAAGCAAAAUGAUGCUAUUCAGUACCCAUUCACUCCUUUGGCAUUCUAAUCUUGUCUUUCUUUGCUUCUACUCUCUUUUCUUCUUUCAUCAUUUCAAAUUCAUUCUGUGAUUUUUUUUUUCUUGUUCAAUUGUAAGGAGCAGAAGGGAUUUAAUCUUCUUUGUGGUCUUUUCUCGUUUGGUUUCUUGGAAAAUUGGUACCCAUUUGAGAGAAGGAUAUAAUGGAACGCGGGUCGAGAUCAGAAACCCUAGACCAGGCUGGGAAGCAGAAGGGUGGUCAGAAACUUGGUUCGAUGCUGCCCCAGAUUGAGCCAUUCAUACCAAAAAGGGAUCACAACCCGAAGGAGUUGAGAUCUUGGGCAAGGAGGACUGGAUUUGUCUCUACUUUCUCCGGUGAGACUACUACGAGUGUUAGUGAGAGGUAUGGGGCUGAGAAAGAUGAUAGUGGUGGGUUUGAUUUGGAGAGGGGUCGUGAU